UGAAGCUCUUCUUCUCAAUUAAACGCCAUUGCAGCUCUUUCAAUCUCAAAGCCACCCAAAUUCCUCGAACCAAAGAAUUCAAAAUCCUCCAAUACUGUAAGUCUGGUGCUCUCAUUGAUGCACUUCACCUUCUUAACUCUCUAGACUCUAAGAAGCUCUCUAACAAGCCAUUUUUAUAUGCAUCUCUUUUGCAAACUAGUACCAA
rnacentral:misc_RNA from 1 species